GGUUGUACAGACGGUUUUCGAGUCGGGUACAACGUAGUAAGAGAAAUGAUUUUGAGUGGUGAACUUUAAUUUGUGGUUUAGGUACCUCUGUACUUUGUAUCAACAUUCUGUGAAAACAAAGCACUCGAUAUUAUAAAUUGUGGUUUAUCUGUACUUUUAUCAACAUUCUGUGAGCAAAGCACUCGAUACAGCUGUGCUUCAAACUCGAUAUUUCACAACACUUAAUAUUCAGCUGCAACCUCGCCACUGUUGCUAUUUUUGUAGUGUUUUUAAACCUAUGGAUGUGAUUGUGGGUAUGUCUCUCCGAAUUCCACACUUAGCAAGUAAAUUGUGAGCAUUGCUAGCAGCUAUAUUCAGGAGCACCUAACCAUUGUAACAUAGUCAGCUAAUUUCAAAAAGAUUGGUGAGUGCUAGGUGAGUGUGUUUUGGCUUUGGAAUUGUCAGAUACAUUAAAUUAAAUAGAUGCAAUAGAUGCAUGACAUGUUGCAAGUUA